GUCUCUGUGGCGCAAUUGGUUAGUGUGUUUGGCUGGUCACUAAACGGUUGGUGGUUCAAGCCCACCCAGGGACG
rnacentral:tRNA from 1 species